GAUGAAGAACGUAGCGAAAUGCGAUAAGUAAUGUGAAUUGCAGAAUUCAGUGAAUCAUCGAAUCUUUGAACGCACAUUGCGCCCGCCAGCAUUCUGGCGGGCAUGCCUGUUCGAGCGUCAUUUCAACCCUCGAGCCCCCCCGGGGGCCUCGGUGUUGGGGGACGGCACACCAGCCGCCCCCGAAAUGCAGUGGCGACCUCGCCGCAGCCUCCCCUGCGUAGUAGCACACACCUCGCACCGGAGCGCGGAGACGGUCACGCCGUAAAACGCCCAACUUCUUAGAGUUGACCUCGGAUCAGGUAGGAAUACCCGCUGAACUUAAGCAUAUCAAUAAGCGAGGA
rnacentral:misc_RNA from 1 species